GAUGAACGCUGGCGGCGUGCCUAAUACAUGCAAGUCGAGCGAAGCGGGGACGGGUGAGUAACACGUGGAUAACCUCCUAUAAGACUGGGAUAACUUCGGGAAACCGGAGCUAAACCGGAUAUUUAUAGUUGGAUCUGCGCUGCAUUAGCUAGUUGGUAAGGUAAUGGCUUACCAAGGCAACGAUGCAUAGCCGACCUGAGAGGGUAAUGGGCAACACGGGAACUGAGACACGGUCCGAACUCCUACGGGAGGCAGCAGUAGGGAAUCUUCCGAAAGGGGCGAAAGCCUGACGGGGCAAGGCCGCGUGAGGAAUGAAGGUCUUCGGAUCGAAAAACUCUGUUAUUAGGAAAGCGGUACCUAAUCAGAAAGCCACGGCUAACUACGUGCCAGCAGCCGCGGUAAUAC
rnacentral:rRNA from 1 species